rnacentral:rRNA from 1 species
AUUGAACGCUGGCGGCAUGCCUUACACAUGCAAGUCGAACGGUAACAGGUCUUCGGAUGCUGACGAGUGGCGAACGGGUGAGUAAUACAUCGGAACGUGCCUAGUAGUGGGGGAUAACUACUCGAAAGAGUGGCUAAUACCGCAUGAGAUCUACGGAUGAAAGCAGGGGAUCGCAAGACCUUGUGCUACUAGAGCGGCCGAUGGCAGAUUAGGUAGUUGGUGGGUUAAACGCUUACCAAGCCGACGAUCUGUAGCUGGUCUGAGAGGACGGUCAGCCACACUGGGCCUGGGAAACGGCCCAGACUCAGACGGGAGGCAGCAGUGGGGAAUUUUGGACAAUGGGCGCAAGCCUGAUCCAGCAAUGCCACGUGCAGGAUGAAGGCCUUUGGGUUGUAAACUGCUUUUGUACGGAACGAAAAGCCCCGGGUUAAUACCCUGGGGUCAUGACGGUACCGUAAGAAUAAGCACCGGCUAACUACGUGCCAGCAGCCGCCGUAA